AUUGAACGCUGGCGGCAUGCCUAACACAUGCAGGUCGAACGAAGUCUUCGGACUUAGUGGCGGACGGGUGAGUAACACGUGGGAACGUACCUUUUGGUUCGGAACAACUCAGGGAAACUUGAGCUAAUACCGGAUGAGCCCUUAGGGGGAAAGAUUUAUCGCCGAAAGAGCGGCCCGCGUUAGAUUAGCUAGUUGGUGAGGUAAAGGCUCACCAAGGCUACGAUCUAUAGCUGGUCUGAGAGGAUGAUCAGCCACACUGGGACUGAGACACGGCCCAGACUCCUACGGGAGGCAGCAGUGGGGAAUCUUGCGCAAUGGGCGAAAGCCUGACGCAGCCAUGCCGCGUGAAUGAUGAAGGUCUUAGGAUUGUAAAAUUCUUUUACCAGGGACGAUAAUGACGGUACCUGGAGAAAAAGCCCCGGCUAACUUCGUGCCAGCAGCCGCGGUAACAC
rnacentral:rRNA from 1 species